CCGGGCGCGGAGAGGAGAGUGGGGUACAGGCACCGGGAGCUAGGGAGCCCCUGUGCGGUGCGCGGGGCUGCUCUCCCUGACCCCUCGCUGUCUCACGCUUUCUCUUGCAGAUGCGGCUGGAGAUGCUGCGGUGGGCUCGCUGCUGCUGCUGGCUGGGUGUUUGCCUCUCGCUGCUGGGGGAAGGGGGAGGAGGCAGCGGCGCUGCCGGCUGCCGGGGCACCCUGUGUGGCGACGGCGGCGGUGAUCGAGAUCCGCCCAGACAGCAGUGCCUGGGGCCCCGCUGCUCGGGCAGAGCCAGCCGCCCGUCCCGCUCCUUCCCUCACACCGUCACGCCCGCCCGCGGCAAGCAGGCGCCGAGCGCCCCGCACGCUGCCCCUCUCCCCGCCUUCCCCUCCAGGAGCACGGCCGAGCUCAGCCCGGAGCUCCCUGCCCCGGCCGCUAGGGGCGCCGGGGAGACCUGCCUGGGAGGGGACUGCGCCGCCCGGGCCCCCAACGGCACCAGCCGGGACUGCAAAGGCGUUGAAUGCAAAUUGCCCCUGCGGCUCCGCCACAGGUCCCGGCCGGGCAGCAGGGCUCAGUGCGCCCAGCAGGGAGAGCCCUGCCCGGAGCCCGCCCUGCUCCGAGAGGCAGAGCGAGCCGCCCAGUUCCUCGCGGAAGACUUCGCCUACCCGGCCUCGGAGCUGGGCGUGCAGCUCACCUGCGACCUCAAACCAGGAGAAAAUGAAGUUCCAUCUGAAGAUGCACUAAUAUUACAACUGCAGCUUGCAAAAGGCCAAGAGAAAUUUGUUGAAAUGUUAAAAAGCCAACAGAAGAUAAUUGUGGAUUUGCAACAAAAACUUGCUGAACAACAGAGCACGUUAGUUAGCCAGCAACGAGAAAUUCUUGAACAACAAAGAAAAAUGUAUGAGCAAAUGGAUCUGAUAAAAGUCCAGUAUGGCAUGCUUUUCGACACAGUGAAACAAAUGUCAUUCCAGAGUUUGCAUGAGGAUAUUCAACAUUAUUUUGAAGCUCAGCUUCAAGGACUUCAGAACCAGGUCAGAAAUCAUCUCCAGAAGUCAUACUCUGUACAUAAAGUAGAAGUUGAUGCAAAAGUGAUUGAUGUUGGGGAGUCUUUGCUGGACUGCGGCCUUUGUAAAACUGAUGAAUUUUGCAAUUUUCAAAAGACACCAUCACAGUGUGAAAAAUGCACCUUGUGCCCUGCUGGCUUUUUCCAAAUGUCUGAAUGUUCUGCAAACGCCGAUCGGAUUUGCCAGGACAGAGACGAAUGCAUUGAAUCUCCCAACAUUUGUGGUGAGAGAAUAAAAUGCCUGAAUACUCCAGGCCUUCCAUCAAACUUCAAAUUUUGACUAUGCUGUAUUUGGAUGGGAUUACAAUAUUUAUGGAAUUGCUUGUGUGUCCUAAUAUGGAUGUACUCAGUGAAAUUUUUUACAGCACAGAUCAUGUACAUGCUGUAAUUGCUUACUUUGUAUGUGUUUUAUGUAUUGGUUAGAAAUGGCACUAGGCAGGUACCAGUGAGAAUUAUAAAUAUUAAGGCUAAGGAAAAGCUUUCAGAGUAGAAGUGCUUCACUACACUAUGCUCCUGAUUCUGCACUCCUAGCAAUCCCAAAACUUUCAAGUCAAAGGCAGUUUUGGAUGCACUAUGGCCGGAAUGCAAAGUCUGGCUCCUAAGUGGUUAAACUAAACAUCACAAAUACUGCUUCUCUUUCACUAUUUGUUAUCUCAGAGGAUGCAGGCAGAUUAGGACAGAUCACUGUCUCUCCAAAUACUUCUUUAACAAUAAUUUACAGCAAAUUUCACUUUCAAGUGGGUUGUAGCCAAUUGUUUCCUUGCCCUCCUCACUAAAAAUACCCUACAUCUAUAUUUCAGUCCAGAUUUUGCCUUUGGUUACACGAACGUAAGCCUGGAGUAACUAGGAAUCACUUUUGAUUUACACCAGUGUAACUAAGAGCAGACUAUGGGCCUCCAUAUUUUUAUAUGUGCUCUGAAGCCAGUACCAUGUACUGUAUGACAUGAUCACCAACAGUGCCCUGUAAUCCUACACCAAAUAUUAUUCAAAAGGAAUUGGGCAUAGUGAAAAUGAACGUUAAUGUUAUGGUACCCAAAAUGUAACCAAAUUGCAUAUUUUCCCUAUAAUUGGUUU
ensembl:lncRNA